UAAUGACGGUACCCGGAGAAGAAGCCCCGGCUAACUUCGUGCCAGCAGCCGCGGUAAUACGAAGGGGGCUAGCGUUGCUCGGAAUUACUGGGCGUAAAGGGCGCGUAGGCGGACAGUUAAGUUGGGGGUGAAAGCCCGGGGCUCAACCUCGGAAAUGCCUUCAAUACUGGCUGUCUUGAGUACGGGAGAGGUG
rnacentral:rRNA from 17 species